GGACGAAAGUCUGACGGAGCAACGCCGCGUGAGUGAAGAAGGUUUUCGGAUCGUAAAGCUCUGUCUUCAGGGACGAAUGUGCUUAAUGUGAAUAAUGUUAAGUAAUGACGGUACCUGAGGAGGAAGCCACGGCUAACUACGUGCCAGCAGCCGCGGUAAUACGUAGGUGGCAAGCGUUGUCCGGAAUUAUUGGGCGUAAAGCGCGCGCAGGCGGGAUAUUAAGUCUGUUUUAAAAGUUCGGGGCUCAACCCCGUGAUGGAAUGGAAACUAAUAUUCUUGAGUGCAGGAGAGGAAAGUGGAAUUCCCAGUGUAGCGGUGAAAUGCGUAGAUAUUGGGAGGAACACCAGUGGCGAAGGCGACUUUCUGGACUGUGUCUGACGCUGAGGCGCGAAAGCCAGGGGAGUGAACGGGAUUAGAUACCCCGGUAAUCCUGGCCGUAAACGAUGGGUACUAGGUGUAGGAGGUAUCGACCCCUUCUGUGCCGGAGUUAACGCAAUAAGUACCCCGCCUGGGGAGUA
rnacentral:rRNA from 1 species